CGUUUUUAGGUCGUGUUUCGUGUUCAGUCUAUCAAAAGGGGCUCCAAGAACAACAGAGGCGUCGUCCUCUUUAUGGAUCGGGAGAGGGAAGAAUCGAGCGAUCAAGCGGUGAACGGAGGUGUAUCGGUGGUGGUAAUCGAUCGGAAUAAGUGAGCAUAUCCGGUGUUUGGCCGAACCAGAGGAAGGAAGGCACGAGGCAGCGAGAUUUUGCUCUUUGUCGUCCGAAUGGGAGGUGCGAAGAGAGGAGGAGAGAUCAGCAACGACGGGGUUUGUCUUCGGGGUUUGACGAGGCCGAAGUGACGGAGAAAAUGGUGGAGUGUCGCGAGCAGCAGCUGCGAAGGAGUCCGGGUCCUUGGUGGGUGCAACGAUGAGAUUCGAUCGAGGGUUGAAGAGGAGGCACCUUCGGUGCUUGGCUGGACCGAAGAGAAGAAGAAAAAGAGAAUCGAAGCAGCGGGAUGUGGGGUCUGCCAUUGGUUUCCGAUGACAAAGCCCCGACAAUGGGCUGUUUGGUGAUCGGGAAAGGCAGCAGCAGCGAUGGGGUGAUUUGGAAUCAAUGUAGGAUAAAGAUUGAUGUUUGGAUUUGUUUUUGAUAGAAAUUGAUAGGCUUGUUGUUCGACAAGGGAAAGCAGGAAAACAGAUGAGGAAAGGGAUGUUUGAGUGGUGCUUGUCACCGAGGGAGAGGGAGAACGGGGCUGCCUCUUCUUGACUUUCACAGGGAAGUGAAAGAGAAGAAGGGUGGAGUGUUAGAUUGAGGGUAGAGUGCAGAAGAUGGUAAACGUGAUUGAAGCAACAGGGAUGAUCUUUAUUUGAUUGUAAUUGUAAAGAUUGAUCUUGUAGCACAUGUAGCUAAUUUUUAAUUAAGAUAUGGGGGAUAUGGGGAUGUGCUUGAUAGAUUUAGGAUGAUAUUUGGGUUUUAAGAUUUGUAUAAAUAUUUCUAGAGAAAUUAAAUAUCCUCCUACCUUUUCUUCCUA